CUUUGAGGCUAACCAGACCACCUAAUACUUUUUCCUUUGACAUUUUAUAGAAUACUAAAAAUAGCUAAACUCGUAUGUAAUGGCCCCGCAUAGACUCGUCCAUGCAGCAGCUCUUUACUGCCCAUGGGUUCUGUCCCCAGGAAGCUCUUUAUUGCCUAUGGGUCUUAUCCCCAUGCUGAACACAAAAUAAAGGUGCACGAACGAGCGGCUCAUGUCUGAAAAUUCUUUUUCAACUCACGACUCAGCGGCCCCACAUCAUUUUUGGUGGCCUCUACGGGGAUCCACUGAGCCAACCGCUUCGGACAUGGGAGCCUCUAGCUCUAUACCCAAAGACUCCCUUUUGGGUUGUCUCUUAGACAACUGGGCCGGAUUUGAGCUUCAAGACCUAAAGAAAAAGAGACUAAUCUUUUAUUGCAACACUGCCUGGCCCCAAUAUGUCUUAAAUGACAGUGAAAAGUGGCCUGAAAAUGGAACUCUAAAUUCUAACACCAUUUUUCAACUGGACCUCUUUUGCUGACGUUUGAGGAAAUGGUCUGAGAUUCCAUAUGUCCAGGCAUUUAUGGCUUAAAGCUGGGACCCUGACCUCUGGGCUGUUUGUCGAAUGUGUUUGGCUACUCCCCAAAAGACCGACAAGACUGCAGACAUCUUAGACGACGACUGCCUGGUCAGACCAAUUCUAAGGCCUCCACCUACAACCCCAGAGGCCCCUCCUGAUGUAGAAAGAACAUCUACCUCUCCUCCUUCCUCUGAGGGCUCAAAACAACAAGACCCCUUAAGUCCAGCAGGACACACCCGCAGCGGGGCAUCCUAUAAUUCUGGUCAGUUCCCCCUUCAGGAAGUAGUUGAUGGAGAAAUGGGCAACAUUCAAGACCAUGUCCCUUUCUUUAUGUCAGACUAUGGCUCAAAUAAAGUUUCAGUUAGGACGAUAUUCUGAAAAUCUCUAUAAGUUCAUUGAUGGCUUUCAGCAACUCGCCAUGAUGUUUGAGUUACCAUGGCAGGAAAUACAUAUAUUGUCCUGACUCAAUGUUGUACUACAGAUGAGAAAGCACGCAUUUGGGCUGGGGCUCGAGAGUUCCUUGAUGAGCUCCAUGCUAGAGAUUGACAUCGAUAUCCUGUAGGGGGCACAGCAGUGCUGGACACAGACCGUGGCUGGGAUUAUCAGGAUGAGCAGGGGAAAAAGAAAUCAUCUGAUAACAUGCCUGAUAGAGGGAACGAAAAAAGGAUUUAUUAAACCUGUGAAUUUUGAAAAACUUCAGAAAGUCACACAAGGAGCAGAUGAGAACCCUGCCCUGUUUCAGGGAAUACUAGCAGAGGCUAUUUGUAAAUACGAAAACUUAGAUCCUGCCUCUCCAGAGGGCAUCACUAUUUUAAACAUGCAUUUUAUCAAUCAGUCAUCUCCUGACAUUUGGUGUAAAUUAACCAAGUUGGCCCUAGGGCCACAAACCCCCAACCAGCGACUAAUGGAGGUGGCCACCCAGGUUUUCAAUAACAGAGACCUGGCUAUCAAACAAGAUAAGGACCUCAGGGCUAAGGUCCAGGGUAAGAUACAGGCUCAUGUCUUAGUGGCUGCAGUUGUGGGUUGGCCACAGAGACAGAUGAAUUUGGGGUCUGAAGCUAAAUUUAAUGAUGGGGGUCUACCGAAGUCCCCCUGUUUUAAAUGUCAACGGCUGGGACACUGGAGUAAACAAUGCCUCAAGAAGGAUCUGCCUCCAGGGCCAUGUCCUCUUUGCAAAAAGGAGAGACAUUGGAAGAGGGAUUGUCCUCAUCUCCAGAGUGAGAGGGGGCCAAGAACCCAUUUCCCCGCCCAAGGAAACAAUCUAGAGGAUUCAACCUAGAGGGGCCCAGAGGACAGUCCGGCUCCCAUUGACAUCCAACAGGCUAAGCCUCGGGUUACUCUGGAUGUGGAAGAUGAUUCUCUCUCAUCUUGAAACGGUCACUACAUUGUCUGCACUUGACUCUGCAGCAGCCACAUUUCAGUCAUCUGAAGUCCCUGGUUCCAGUCACACAAUCCCCAUUUAGGGACAGCUCUAUGCCCAUACUCAGCAGGAAGUAGAUACAGAAGAUGGACUGUCACUCAUUUCCCAAAGAUUUUGGGGGUCAAGGGUUCAGAGGGAAAUAUGACGUGGUCACCACUCAACCUCACAUACCCCUACUUCCUCAAUCGCCCCUGGCUGGGAGCAAAGGAAUUUACCUCAGGAGGUAAUCAAUGACUUUAAUCUCCUGCUUACAUGUUCCUUGAGGCAUUUCUCAUUCAUCCACCCCCAUGCCCUAAUCUUUGAGCUGACCAGACCACCUAAUACUUUUUCCUUUGACAUUUUUAUGGAAUACUGAAAAUAGCUAAACUCGUAUAUAAUGGCCCCGCACAGACUCGUCCAUGCAGCAGCUCUUUACUGCCCAUGCGUCCUGUCCCCAUGAAGCUCUGUACUGCCCGUGGGUCCUGUCCCCAGGCAGCUCUGUACUGCCCGUGGGUCGUGUCCCAAUGCUGAACACAAAAUAAAGGUGCACAAAUGA